rnacentral:rRNA from 1 species
UUCGCAAUGCCCGAAAGGGUGACGAAGCGACGCCGCGUGCGGGAAGAAGGCCUUCGGGUUGUAAACCGCUGUCGGGAGUUAAGAAAUGCAAGGGUGUUAACAGCAUCCUUGCCUGACUAAGGCUCCGGAGGAAGCCACGGCUAACUCUGUGCCAGCAGCCGCGGUAAUACAGAGGCGGCAAGCGUUGUUCGGAAUUAUUGGGCGUAAAGAGCACGUAGGCGGCUGUGUAAGUCGGUUGUGAAAGCCUUCCGCUCAACGGGAGAACGGCAUCCGAUACUGCAUGGCUUGAGUGCGGGAGGGGAGAGUGGAACUUCUGGUGGAGCGGUGAAAUGCGUAGAUAUCAGAAGGAACACCGGCGGCGAAGGCGACUCUCUGGCCCGUAACUGACGCUGAGUGUGCGAAAGCUAGGGGAGCAAACGGGAUUAGAUACCCCGGUAGUCCUAGCCGUAAACGAUGGGCACUAAGUAGAGGGGUUUUA